UACGUAGGGUGCGAGCGUUGUCCGGAAUUAUUGGGCGUAAAGAGCUUGUAGGCGGUCUGUCGCGUCUGCUGUGAAAAUCCGGGGCUCAACCCCGGACUUGCAGUGGGUACGGGCAGACUAGAGUGUGGUAGGGGAGACUGGAAUUCCUGGUGUAGCGGUGAAAUGCGCAGAUAUCAGGAGGAACACCGAUGGCGAAGGCAGUCAACUAUUCUGUUCCUGACAUUGAGGCAUGAAAGCGUGGGGAGCAAACCGG
rnacentral:rRNA from 1 species